rnacentral:rRNA from 1 species
CCUACGGGUGGCUGCAGUGGGGAAUAUUGGACAAUGGGGGGAACCCUGAUCCAGCCAUGCCGCGUGUGUGAAGAAGGCCCUCGGGUUGUAAAGCACUUUCAGUGAGGAAGAACGCCUGGUGGUUAAUACCCAUCAGGAAAGACAUCACUCACAGAAGAAGCACCGGCUAACUCCGUGCCAGCAGCCGCGGUAAUACGGAGGGUGCGAGCGUUAAUCGGAAUUCUGGGCGAAAGCGCGCGUAGGUGGCUUGAUAAGCCGGUUGUGAAAGCCCCGGGUCCAACCUGGGAACGGCAUCCGGAACCGUAAAGCUAGAGUGCAGGAGAGGAAGGUAGAAUUCCCGGUGUAGCGGUGAAAUGCGUAGAGAUCGCGAGGAAUAACAGUGGAGAAGGCGGCCUUCUGGACUGACACUGACACUGAGGUGCGAAAGCGUGGGUAGCAAACAGGAUUAGAUACCCUUGUAGUC